UACAGAGGGUGCGAGCGUUAAUCGGAAUUACUGGGCGUAAAGCGCACGUAGGCGGCUUGGUAUGUCGGGUGUGAAAUCCCCGGGCUCAACCUGGGAACUGCAUCCGAAACUGCCUUGCUCGAGUAUGGGAGAGGGAAGUGGAAUUCCGGUGUAGCGGUGAAAUGCGUAGAUAUCGGAAGGAACACAGUGGCGAAGGCGACUUCCUGGACCAAUACUGACGCUCAGGUGCGGAAAGCCAGGGGAAGCCAAAGCGGGGAUUAAGCAAACCCGUAGUA
rnacentral:rRNA from 1 species